AAUAUGAGAGGAACAGCCCUGCAGACACCAAGGUCAGUGCAGAAGGAGGGGAGGAGGUGCUCCAGGCAUUGGAGCUGAGAUUCCCCUGCAGCCUGUGGUGCAGCCCAUGGUGGAGCAGCUGUGCCUCUGCAGCCCAUGAAAGUCCAUGGGGAUGCAGAGUGCCACCUGCAGCCCCUGGAGGAGACCCACACUGGAGCAGGUGUAUGCCUGAGAGGAGUCUGUGACCCUGUGGGAGGCCUGUACUGGAGCAGGCUUCUGGAAGGAGCUUGAAGAUCCAUGGAGAGAGGAGCCAACACUGGAGUAGGUUUCCUGGUAGGACUUGUGACCCCAUGGGGGUCACACACUGGAGCAGGUUGUGCCCGAAGGACCCCGUGGAAGAGUGACCCACCCUGCAGCAGUUUGUGGAGACCUAUAGCCCAUGGGAUUCACUCACUUUGCAAUUCAUGGAGAACUACUUCCCGUGGAAGGGACCCCACCCUGGAGCAGCGGAAGGAUUCCUGUCCUUGAGCAGGGUCAGGAACAAUGUGUGAUGCAAUGACUAUAACCCCGUUCUCUGUCUCACAGAGCAACUGCAGGGAGGAGCAAAAGCCUCAUUUAAAAUGAUUUAUUAUUCUCCACAAAGAAAAUUUCAGGAUGGAUUUUCAUGUUACUGCUGUGGCCUUUCCUGAAUGGCCUGAUACAUGAUCAGUUAACUGCCUUAUCUCAACCUACUAGUUGUUUUCCAUCUGAUUUUUCUCUCCCCUGUCCCAUUAGAAAGGAGAGUAAUAGAGUGGCUCGGAGGGCACCUGGAGUCCAGCCAAGGCAUCCAGGAAAGCCAGAAGUAAAAAGACCAACCAAACAAACAAAAAAGCCAAAGAAAACCACAACAGUGAUAAAAGCGACAAACAAUCCUCAUUCUUUUUACUAUAUCCUCUCCCUCUCUAUAAAUUGGUACCCAUGUUGCAUUCAGAGAAAUGAAUGUUGUGUACCAUUUCCCCAGAUUUCGUUCUCUACAGAAAUUCAAGAUAAAGGUGGAGAGAAAAGGGGAAAUAAAUGUCUAGUUGUAACUGAAUCUGUAGACCUCCUUCAGUCCUUAAGGAGUGUUCAGCUGUCUGAAGUUUAUCAUGGUAGCCAAUGAUCAAAUACCAGCAGGCUCCUUAGGUGAUACUUAAGGAUUAAACAGAUAAUCUAAUUCACAUCCUUCUUACAGAUUUUGAUGCCUAAGACUGACACUAUUCUUCAUCAAGAUUCCUCUUAAAGAUCUAUAAUCCUCAUAGAUCAUAGUCCCAUUUGAGUUCAGUUUUCCCUUUAAAACCUUCUUUUUAGCCUUGGCACAUCCAGAGGGUUUGGUAACAAGGCUCUAUUUAAUUGCUCAGUCCUUUCUUUCUUGAUAUGAAAAUGAGAAAACUUUACAAUUACUAAAGUGUAUUUCAAAGGACAAAAUUAUAUAAAGGAAAAGACCCAUAUUUGAACCUAAUAUAAUGAUUUCUCUUCUCUGCAACCUGGGCUACUGCCAAAUAUAGUCCUUAUACCCUAUUUCAGAAAUUACCAACGGGACAGUGAUUUUAAUUGAAAUUAUGAUGUUAAAAUUAUACAUAUUGAGAAAACAAUUGUGUUUUCAAAGUGUGGUUUUGUGUUGCUGUUCUAUGAGACACUGAGAAUCACUUUUUUGCUAAUCAAAGGAACCAGGAGGCUCCCAGGUCCUUCUGAGAUGAGACUUUGAUCUUGUGUUAUUUUUUAUUUCUGACUCAUGAUUUACCUCUUGAAAUCACUUGCUGCUAGUAUUAAAUCAGUAGAGGUUUUGCUCUGAAAUGAUGUCACUAUCAAGAAUAAAAUAUAGACUCUUCUUUUCAUUUACCAGUAGCAGCUAUAAAUUAGCUGUAAUUUUUUCUUUGCU